GACGAACGCUGGCGGCGUGCCUAAUACAUGCAAGUCGAACGCAGUGGGGACGGGUGAGUAACACGUGGGUAACCUCCCAUCAGAGGGGAUAACACUUGGAAACAGGUGCUAAUCCGAUACUGAUGGAUGGACCCGCGGUGCAUUAGCUGGUUGGUGAGGUAACGGCUCACCAAGGCCACGAUGCAUAGCCGACCGGAGAGGAGGAGCGGCCAAACGGGGACGGAGACAGGGCCCAGACUCCGACGGGAGGCAGCAGUAGGGAAUCUUCGGCAAUGGACGGAAGUCGGACAGAGCAACGCCGCGUGAGUGAAGAAGGUUUGCGGAUCGUAAAGCUCUGUUGUAAGAGAAGCGGUAUCUUACCAGAAAGGGACGGCUAACUACGUGCCAGCCGCCGCGGUAAUUC
rnacentral:rRNA from 1 species